rnacentral:rRNA from 1 species
UACGUAGGGGGCAAGCGUUUGUCCGGAAUCAUUGGGCGUAAAGCGCGUGUAGGCGGCCCGGUAAGUCCGCUGUGAAAAGUCGGGGGGCUCAACCCUCGAAUGCCGGUGGAUACUGUCGGGCUAGAGUGCGGGAGAGGCGAGUGGAAUUCCUGGUGUAGCGGUGAAAUGCGCAGAUAUCAGGAGGGAACACCUGAGGUGAAGACGGGUUGCUGGGCCGACACUGACGCUGAUAGCGCGAAAGCCAGGGGAGCAAACGGGG